CGGUGGAGCGAUUUGUCUGGUUAAUUCCGAUAACGAACGAGACUCUGGCCUAUUAAAUAGUUCGCCGAUUCCGAUCUGUCGGCGUUAACUUCUUAGAGGGACAAGUGGCUUUUAGCCACGCGAGAUUGAGCAAUAACA
rnacentral:rRNA from 1 species